ACGUGGGUGACCUGCCUUCGAGCGGGGGAUAACGUCCCGAAAGGGACGCUAAUACCGCAUAACAUCCUGCCUUUUAAGAGGUGGAGAUCAAAGCCGGGGAUCGCAAGACCUGGCACUUGAAGAGGGGCCCGCGCCUGAUUAGCUAGUUGGUGGGGUAAUGGCUCACCAAGGCAACGAUCAGUAUCCGGCCUGAGAGGGCGGACGGACACACUGGGACUGAGACACGGCCCAGACUCCUACGGGAGGCAGCAGUGGGGAAUUGUUCGCAAUGGGCGCAAGCCUGACGGAGCAAUACCGCGU
rnacentral:rRNA from 1 species